AUGCUACUCCCUCCGUUCGGAAUAACUUGUCGCAGAAAUGGAUGUAUCUAGACUUAUUUUAGUUCUAAAUACAUCCCUUUCCAAGACAAGUAAUUCCGAACGGAGGGAGUAGUAA
rfam:Triticum aestivum genome assembly, contig: Triticum_aestivum_CS42_TGACv1_scaffold_220786_3B